AGUGGGGAAUAUUGCGCAAUGGGCGAAAGCCUGACGCAGCAACGCCGCGUGCGGGAUGACGGCCUUCGGGUUGUAAACCGCUUUCAGCAGGGACGAAGGGUUUCUGACGGUACCUGCAGAAGAAGCACCGGCUAACUACGUGCCAGCAGCCGCGGUGAUACGUAGGGUGCGAGCGUUGUCCGGAAUUAUUGGGCGUAAAGAGCUUGUAGGCGGUCCGUUGCGUCGGAAGUGAAAACUCGGGGCUUAACCCCGAGCCUGCUUUCGAUACGGGCGGACUUGAGGGAUGUAGGGGAGAACGGAAUUCCUGGUGGAGCGGUGGAAUGCGCAGAUAUCAGGAGGAACACCAGUGGCGAAGGCGGUUCUCUGGACAUUUCCUGACGCUGAGAAGCGAAAGCGUGGGGAGCAAACAGGCUUAGAUACCCUGGUAGUCCACGCCGUAAACGGUGGGCACUAGGUGUGGGACCCAUUCCACGGGUUCCGUGCCGUA
rnacentral:rRNA from 1 species